AAGGCCUACCAAGACUAUGAUGUGUAGCCGGGCUGAGAGGUUGAACGGCCACAUUGGGACUGAGACACGGCCCAAACUCCUACGGGAGGCAGCAGUAGGGAAUUUUCGGCAAUGGAGGAAACUCUGACCGAGCAACGCCGCGUGAACGAUGAAGUAUUUCGGUACGUAAAGUUCUUUUAUUAGGGAAGAAUAAAUGAUGGAAAAAUCAUUCUGACGGUACCUAAUGAAUAAGCCCCGGCUAACUAUGUGCCAGCAGCCGCGGUAAUACAUAGGGGGCAAGCGUUAUCCGGAAUUAUUGGGCGUAAAGGGUGCGUAGGCGGUUAAAUAAGUUUAUGGUCUAAGUGCAAUGCUCAACAUUGUGAUGCUAUAAAAACUGUUUAGCUAGAGUAAGAUAGAGGCAAGUGGAAUUCCAUGUGUAGUGGUAAAAUGCGUAAAUAUAUGGAGGAACACCAGUAGCGAAGGCGGCUUGCUGGGUCUUUACUGACGCUGAGGCACGAAAGCGUGGGGAGCAAACAGGAUUAGAUACCCUGGUAGUCCACGCCGUAAACGAUGAGUACUAAACGUUGGGUAAAACCAGUGUUGAAGUUAACACAUUAAGUACUCCGCCUGAGUAGUACGUACGCAAGUAUGAAACUUAAAGGAAUUGACGGGACUCCGCACAAGCGGUGGAUCAUGUUGUUUAAUUCGAAGGUACCCGAAAAACCUCACCAGGUCUUGACAUGCUUCUGCAAAGCUGUAGAAACACAGUGGAGGUUAUCAGUUGCACAGGUGGUGCAUGGUUGUCGUCAGCUCGUGUCGUGAGAUGUUGGGUUAAGUCCCGCAACGAGCGCAACCCUUAUUGUUAGUUACCAGCACGUAAUGGUGGGGACUUUAGCAAGACUGCCAGUGAUAAAUUGGAGGAAGGUGGGGACGACGUCAAAUCAUCAUGCCCCUUAUGACCUGGGCUACAAACGUGAUACAAUGGCUGUUACAAAGGGUAGCUGAAGCGCAAGUUUUUGGCGAAUCUCAAAAAAACA
rnacentral:rRNA from 1 species